CGAGGCGAUGGUAGCUUUGCUCCUGAUGUUAGCGGCGGACGGGUGAAGUAACACGUUGGGUAACCUGCCUGUAAGACUGGGAUAACUCCGGGAAACCGGGGCUAAUACCGGAGGGUUGUUUGAACCGCAUGGUUCAGACAUAAAAGGUGGCUUCGGCUACCACUUACAGAUGGACCCGCGGCGCAUUAGCUAGUUGGUGAGGUAACGGCUCACCAAGGCGACGAUGCGUAGCCGACCUGAGAGGGUGAUCGGCCACACUGGGACUGAGACACGGCCCAGACUCCUACGGGAGGCAGCAGUAGGGAAUCUUCCGCAAUGGACGAAAGUCUGACGGAGCAACGCCGCGUGAGUGAUGAAGGUUUUCGGAUCGUAAAGCUCUGUUGUUAGGGAAGAACAAGUGCCGUUCAAAUAGGGCGGCACCUUGACGGUACCUAACCAGAAAGCCACGGCUAACUACGUGCCAGCAGCCGCGGUAAUACGUAGGUGGCAAGCGUUGUCCGGAAUUAUUGGGCGUAAAGGGCUCGCAGGCGGUUUCUUAAGUCUGAUGUGAAAGCCCCCGGCUCAACCGGGGAGGGUCAUUGGAAACUGGGGAACUUGAGUGCAGAAGAGGAGAGUGGAAUUCCACGUGUAGCGU
rnacentral:rRNA from 1 species